AGCGAACGCUGGCGGCAGGCUUAACACAUGCAAGUCGAGCGGGCACUUCGGUGUCAGCGGCAGACGGGUGAGUAACACGUGGGAACGUACCCUUUGGUUCGGAAUAACGCUGGGAAACUAGCGCUAAUACCGGAUACGCCCUUUUGGGGAAAGGCUUGCUGCCGAAGGAUCGGCCCGCGUCUGAUUAGCUAGUUGGUGGGGUAAUGGCCUACCAAGGCGACGAUCAGUAGCUGGCGUGAGAGGAUGAUCAGCCACACUGGGACUGAGACACGGCCCAGACUCCUACGGGAGGCAGCAGUGGGGAAUAUUGGACAAUGGGCGAAUGCCUGAUCCAGCCAUGCCGCGUGAGUGAUGAAGGCCUUAGGGUUGUAAGGCUCUUUUGUCCGGGAGGAUAAUGACGAUACCGGAAGAAUAAGCCCCGGCUAACUUCGUG
rnacentral:rRNA from 1 species